GAUGAACGCUGGCGGCGUGCCUAAUACAUGCAAGUCGAGCGAACAGACGAGGAGCUUGCUCCUCUGACGUUAGCGGCGGACGGGUGAGUAACACGUGGAUAACCUACCUAUAAGACUGGGAUAACUUCGGGAAACCGGAGCUAAUACCGGAUAAUAUAUUGAACCGCAUGGUUCAAUAGUGAAAGACGGUUUUGCUGUCACUUAUAGAUGGAUCCGCGCCGCAUUAGCUAGUUGGUAAGGUAACGGCUUACCAAGGCAACGAUGCGUAGCCGACCUGAGAGGGUGAUCGGCCACGCUGGAACUGAGACACGGUCCAGACUCCUACGGGAGGCAGCAGUAGGGAAUCUUCCGCAAUGGGCGAAAGCCUGACGGAGCAACGCCGCGUGAGUGAUGAAAGUCUUCGGAUCGUAAAACUCUGUUAUUAGGGAAGAACAAAUGUGUAAGUAACUAUGCACGUCUUGACGGUACCUAAUCAGAAAGCCACGGCUAACUACGUG
rnacentral:rRNA from 1 species